AGGAGCCAGCAGGGGAGAGGUUCCUGCACAGCAUUAGAUGUGUCUGACUUCUAAGGAAAAUGAGACUCCAGACACAUUGAUGGGGCAUCAACAAGACUGUGGAUAGGAAAUGAG